rnacentral:lncRNA from 1 species
CUUUGUUCUAACUUCUAGAUAAGUAUCUGUAAGGUAAAACAAUUAUAAAGAAUCUGAUAUUCAUGAAAAUCUAUGAAAUAUUGCUGCUACUCAAUACUAGAAGCUGAAAACUUUAUUCUAAAAGCUGAAUUAACUGAAUUCCAUAAUCUGAAAUCUGAGAACUGAAUAAGUACUAAAAAAUCACACCAAAAAGAGUACCCAAUGAAUAACUUUACUCAUGUACAGAGUAAUCUCGAUGUACAAGGCAAAGCCAUUCAAAUUUGAUAAUCUGAUAGCUGAUAAUCUGGUUAUACGUACGCAGAGUUGCUCCAAAAGCUAAUCACCCUAGUACACGGCCCAAAGCCUAUGUGUGUACGAGAGUGGGUCCCAAAGACCUUUGAUAAUCUGGUCAUACACUAUGAAAACAUAUUCACGAUAGUGUAGAGCGGGUAAAAUCAUUAUAACUAGUUAUACACUGUGGAAACACAUUCACAUCAGUGCAAACUGGGGUAAAAUCACCUGAGUACUUUCUAGUAGUUUUUAG